AAGCACGGCUUCGCAGCGCACAGACGGGGAGCUCGCUCCUUCCUUGAAGCUGCGGGGAAAGUCCCCGUGCCCUUGGGCAGAGAGUGCCGGCGGGAGACCGCCAGGCCCCGGCCCUGCCGUUUGCGGCGAGGCCUCUUGGCGGAGCCAGAGCGGCGGGCUGGGGUCGCUCGCAGCAGCACAGCCAUGCCGUGAGCGCCCUGGAAGUGGGCGCCAACAGAACGGGGCUCACUCUC
rnacentral:RNase_MRP_RNA from 1 species